rnacentral:rRNA from 1 species
CCCUUAGAUGUCCUGGGCCGCACGCGCGCUACACUGACAUGUUCAACAAGCCUCCUAGUUCGACAGGAUUUGGGAAAUCUUUGAACGCAUGUCGUGAUAGGGAUAGAUCAUUGCAAUUAUUGAUCUUGAACGAGGAAUUCCUAGUAAACGCGAGUCAUCAGCUCGCAUUGAUUACGUCCCUGCCCUUUGUACACACCGCCCGUCGCACCUACCGAUUGAAUGGUCCGGUGAAGCCUCCGGAUUGGCGCGCACCUCGGUGCCGCCGAGAAGUUGGCUAAACCUUACCAUUUAGAGGAAGGUGAAGUCGUAACA